CUCAACAACAGCUGAGCAACUCUGCUAUAAAAGGGAGCACGUUUGGGAGGAGACAGCAGUAGAGGCGACCGAUUAUAUAAUUAAGUUACAUAUAUAAAACUUUCGUUUUAUCUCUUUAAUUACAACAAUGGCAUCAGUGAAGGGUGAAAAAUCAGUGGGCACACAGCUGUUUGGGCAGGCCAAAAAGGACCCUGCGCCCAAGGCCGGUGACACUGCAACCAAAGCUCCGGCUUCCAAGUCGGGUGCAAAGAAGGCCGCACCAAAGCCUCAGGAACCCAAGAAGAAGGGAAAAGGAGGGAAAUCGGCAUCAAAGCACUAACCAUGCAAGCUUGUUCGAUGGUAGCAGCCUGAGAAAAGCAGCUACAAGCAUGAAGAUCAAAGUUAUAUAUUUUGUAUAAUUAAUUAAUACUCCUAUGGUUUAAUUAGUUAAUUUGUAUAAUCAUGGGAAAUCGAUAUCUAGCUAUGUACGUCAGCUGCUUAGGCAUGGCCUAUUGAAAUAACAAAGAUCUUCUUGCCAUAUAUAUAUACCGACUUUUAUUUUCUCAA